ACGCUCGACACCUACGGGGGCAGCAGUGGGGGAUAUUGCACAAUGGGGGAAACCCUGAUGCAGCAACGCCGCGUGAAGGAAGAAGGUCUUCGGAUUGUAAACUUCUGUCCUCAGGGAAGAUAAUGACGGUACCUGAGGAGGAAGCUCCGGCUAACUACGUGCCAACAGCCGCGGUAAUCUGAGCGGGCUGGCAAGGC
rnacentral:rRNA from 1 species